UCGGUUUUGAGUGCCUUCAGGGCAGAGACACACAGGAGGCCGUGCAGGACCACAGCCCCCAUGUCAUAGAGGAGCAACAGCAGGAUCAAGCUCCAUUUGUAGGCCUGUAGGAGACAAGGAACACUGAUAAUAAAGUACAACAAUACACGGCCCUACACGAGGAGGACCGUGUAUGGAGGCCCUCCUCAUCUCUCACAUUCAGUGCAUCGGUGUAUUUCCCCUAAUGAUCAUCACUAUUACUGUACCAUCCUCCCACCUCACCCAUCGUACCAUCCUUCCCGUAACCAUCCGUCAGUUCUCAAUCCUAUCGCCUGAAAAAAGAAAGAAGAGGAAAGGAAAAGAAAGGAAAGAAAAGACUCACCAACAGGAUUUCCCCUGGACAAAUAUUGAAUGAUGAUAAGUAGUAGUGUUCAGUGGGAUUGGGUAUGCACACAUCGUCAUUUUUCAUAAUGCUGAGGAUGUAACAGUAGAGGCAGAAGGCAAGUAGAGCCCCCAGCAGGCUGACCACAUUACUGCAUGCACAACCUCGGAGCUGUGGAAGAUCCAUCAUUGUGUCAAACAGCAAUACUGUACACUGAUUACAUCAAGGGCCUAUGAUUUUUAUUUGGGAUGUAAAACUACAGUAAUAAAAAGUAAGUAUUAUUAUUA